UACCUGCAGCUCGAGUGGUAACCGCUAUUAUUGGGCCUAAAGCGUCCGUAGCCGGUUUGGUAAAUAUCUGGGUAAAUCGUGAGGCUUAACUUCACGAAUUUCGGAUAGACUGCCAGACUUGGGAUCGGGGGAGGUCAGAGGUACUCCAGGGGCAGCGGUGAAAUGUUGUAAUCCUUGGAGGACCACCGGUAGCGAAGGCGUCUGACUAGAACGAGUCCGACGGUGAGGGACGAAGCCCUGGGGCGCAAACCGGAUUAGAUACCCGGGUAGUCCAGGGUGUAGACAAUGUGGGCUUUGUAUUGGAGAUCCCACGUGGGUGUCCAGUGCAGAAGAGAAGUUGUUAAGCCCACCGCCUGGGAAGUACGGUCGCAAGGCUGAAACUUAAAGGAAUUGGCGGGGAGCACAGCAACGGGAGGAGCGUGCGGUUU
rnacentral:rRNA from 1 species